rnacentral:rRNA from 1 species
UACGAAGGGGGCUAGCGUUGCUCGGAAUUACUGGGCGUAAAGCGCACGUAGGCGGUCUUUUAAGUUGGGGGUGAAAUCCUGGAGCUCAACUCCAGAACUGCCUUCGAUACUGGAAGACUUGAGUCCGGGAGAGGUGAGUGGAACUGCGAGUGUAGAGGUGAAAUUCGUAGAUAUUCGCAAGAACACCAGUGGCGAAGGCGGCUCACUGGCCCGGUACUGACGCUGAGGUGCGAAAGCGUGGGGAGCAAACAGG